UGGGGAAUAUUGCACAAUGGGCGGAAGCCUGAUGCAGCGACGCCGCGUGGGGGAUGAAGGCCUUCGGGUUGUAAACUCCUUUCGACAGGGACGAAGCUUUUGUGACGGUACCUGUAUAAGAAGCACCGGCUAACUACGUGCCAGCAGCCGCGGUAAUACGUAGGGUGCGAGCGUUGUCCGGAAUUACUGGGCGUAAAGAGCUCGUAGGUGGUUUGUCGCGUCGUCUGUGAAAUUCCGGGGCGUAACUCCGGGCGUGCAGGCGAUACGGGCUGACUUGAGUGCUGUAGGGGAGACUGGAAUUACUGGUGUAGCGGUGAAAUGCGCAGAUAUCAGGAGGAAAACCGAUGGCGAAGGCAGGUCUCUGGGCAGUAACUGACGCGGAGGAGCGAAAGCAUGGGUAGCGAACAGG
rnacentral:rRNA from 1 species